AUCGUGGUGGCUGCGCUUGCGAGGACCCUGAGGUAGAUUGGGUGGUUUCAACAGGAACGCAUCCACUGUCUGAGAGUUUAAACUUGAUUUUGUGAGGGGACGAACAGCGUGACAAUUAAAAGAAGAUCUGGGAAUCGUAAGUACUGACAGAAUACCUGGAGGGAAGGUGGGACUGGAGAAUAGUUUGUGAAACAGAUCCUGCUGAGGAUGAAUCCAGAACUUCCUGAAGGGUUCCGCUUCUGCUGUGUAGGGACAAGGUUGUAAAUAGACAAGCCACAGGCACCUGCAAAUGGUAAGUGUGGUAGAGAGGGGCUGGAAUUGCCUGUUGGUGUAUCUGUGGGAAGCAGCUGCUAUCCUUGAGGAAGAAAAGAUGGAGAAGGUAAGUGGCUAUCAACCUGUCAGAGACAACACAUUCUGUGAAGUUGUACUCUUUCAUUUCUGACACUGUGGUUCUUAAUAUCUGUCCUAAACCUGGCAGUCAUUGAGGUUCGCAAAGUAUCUCCUUCUAUGUGACAGUAAAACUGGAAUUACUAUCAGAAUGGAAUCCAUUCCUGCUAGAGUAAAACCAUGAAAAGAAAUCGCAGUUUUGAUUAUCUGCUUAUCAUUUUUAAUAGAUCACAG
rnacentral:lncRNA from 1 species